CAGGAGGACGCCGGAGCCUUUCGCGGUGUCAAAAGAGCCGUACGUGAGGAAAAUGAUCAUCCUGGCAGAGAAUCAGCAGGUUUCAGAUAGCAUCAGGCAGUGAGAAGAAGUUAUUAGGCUUGAAGGAGAAAACGAUUUGCCCAAAUAUGAAGCCAUUAGAUGAUGGACCGAUGGACCUCAUCUCACCUAAGGAUCUAGGCUUUGAGGCCAUUUCACUUUUUUCUUCCUACGAGAUCCUGAGCUUGAAGAGGCGGCCGCAGACGGUCCUCCCCCCGCGCUUCCUGUAGCACUCCCGCUGCUUUGCACGCCAUCCUCUGUCCGCUGU